rnacentral:rRNA from 1 species
GACGAACGCUGGCGGCGUGCUUAACACAUGCAAGUCAAGGGGGCCCAGUAGCAAUACUGGGCAACCGGCGAACGGGUGCGUAACACGUGAGCAACCUACCGAAAUGUGGGGGAUAGCCGGCCUAACGGCCGAGUAAUACCGCAUACGCUCUCGAUGAGGCAUUUCAUUGAGAGGAAACCUACGGGACAUUUCGAGGGGCUCGCGGCCUAUCAGCUAGUUGGCGAGGUAACGGCUCACCAAGGCAACGACGGGUAGCUGGUCUGAGAGGAUGGCCAGCCACAUUGGGACUGAGAUACGGCCCAGACUCCUACGGGAGGCAGCAGUGGGGAACAUUGGACAAUGGGCGAAAGCCUGACGCAGCGACGCCGCGUGAGGGAUGACGGCCU